AGAGUUUGAUCCUGGCUCAGAUUGAACGCUGGCGGCAGGCCUAACACAUGCAAGUCGAGCGGUAGAGAGAAGCUUGCUUCUCUUGAGAGCGGCGGACGGGUGGGUAAUACCUAGGAAUCUGCCUGAUAGUGGGGGAUAACGUUCGGAAACGGACGCUAAUACCGCAUACGUCCUACGGGAGAAAGCAGGGGACCUUCGGGCCUUGCGCUAUCAGAUGAGCCUAGGUCGGAUUAGCUAGUUGGUGAGGUAAUGGCUCACCAAGGCUACGAUCCGUAACUGGUCUGAGAGGAUGAUCAGUCACACUGGAACUGAGACACGGUCCAGACUCCUACGGGAGGCAGCAGUGGGGAAUAUUGGACAAUGGGCGAAAGCCUGAUCCAGCCAUGCCGCGUGUGUGAAGAAGGUCUUCGGAUUGUAAAGCACUUUAAGUUGGGAGGAAGGGCAUUAACCUAAUACGUUGGUGUCUUGACGUUACCGACAGAAUAAGCACCGGCUAACUCUGUGCCAGCAGCCGCGGUAAU
rnacentral:rRNA from 1 species